CCCGCUGAACUUAAGCAUAUCAAUAAGCGGAGGAAAAGAAACUAACAAGGAUUCCCCUAGUAACUGCGAGUGAAGCGGGAAAAGCUCAAAUUUAAAAUCUGGUGGCCUUUUGGCCAUCCGAGUUGUAAUUUAGAGAAGCGUCUUCCGCGCUGGACCGUGCACAAGUCUCCUGGAAUGGAGCGUCAUAGAGGGUGAGAAUCCCGUCUUUGGCACGGACUCCCGGUGCUUCUGUGAUGCGCUCUCGACGAGUCGAGUUGUUUGGGAAUGCAGCUCAAAAUGGGUGGUGAACUCCAUCUAAAGCUAAAUACUGGCGAGAGACCGAUAGCGAACAAGUACCGUGAGGGAAAGAUGAAAAGCACUUUGGAAAGAGAGUGAAACAGUACGUGAAAUUGUUGAAAGGGAAACGCUUGAAGUCAGUCGCGUUGCCCAGAAAUCAACCUUGCUUUUGCUUGGUGUACUUUCUGGUUAACGGGUCAGCAUCAAUUUUGACCGGUGGAUAAAGGUCAGGGGAAUGUGGCAUCUUCGGAUGUGUUAUAGCCCUUGGUUGCAUACAUCGAUUGGGAUUGAGGAACUCAGCAUGCCGCAAGGCCGGGUUUUUAACCACGUACAUGCUUAGGAUGCUGGCAUAAUGGCUUUAAUCGACCCGUCUUGAAACACGG
rnacentral:rRNA from 1 species